UACGUAGGGCGCAAGCGUUGUCCGGAAUUAUUGGGCGUAAAGAGCUCGUAGGCGGCUUGUCACGUCGGGUGUGAAAGCCCCGGGGCUUAACCCCGGGUCUGCAUUCGAUACGGGCUAGCUAGAGUGUGGUAGGGGAGAUCGGAAUUCCUGGUGUAGCGGUGAAAUGCGCAGAUAUCAGGAGGAACACCGGUGGCGAAGGCGGAUCUCUGGGCCUGUACUGACGCUGAGGAGCGAAAGCGUGGGGAGCGAACAGG
rnacentral:rRNA from 1 species